CUGCUCAAGCAGGGCCCUAUAGAGCACUUUGCCCAGGAUUGUACCCAGAUGGGUUUUGAAUAGCUCCAAGGAUGGAGACUCCACAACCUCUCUGGGCAACGUGCUCCAGUGCUAUGGCAUCCUUAUAGCAAAGA